CACACACUCACGAUUUGAUAUGAUUUCUGAUACAGGGUUAACGAUACAGUUUCUUAUGAUAUUAUCCAACUUUUUUUUGUAACGGUAUAAACUUGCAGACAAAUUGUGACUGAAAAAGAUUUCUUAAUUAUUUCUCAGACAACAAAACAUUCCUCGUCUGUGUGUGUCAUUCAAAUCUUUGGAUACAAUACCUUAAUGUUAAUGUUGUUGUCAGUCAGCAAGAUUUUUAAGAGAUGUGGCUCAUCCACUUCCAGACUUUGAGGAUUUUUAAAAUGCCUUUUGCUAAGUUUGGGUAUAUUUUAAAAAUGUUCAUGACAUUACACUUUGUUGUGUAAAUCUCUAACUAAAUGGAAGGAGUCUCUCUCUGUCCUGUAAAAACUGCAAGGCUCAGUUCUGGAGACAAAGGGCCAGUGUGAUCUCUGAUACUUGUCUCAGACUGAGCCUUUUAAAGUGGCUGUGUCAAUGUUUAUCUGUGAGAAUAAUGUCUAUAGAUAAUCUGAACACUAACUCACUUAUUUGUAAACUGUUUUAGAACAAUAUAGUUAUCUGAUGUCCUGCCUUAACCUGACUUUCUUUCUUUCUUUAUGAUUAAAAUAUGUUUCGUCUUUUAGGGACACUCGUCAUAGUGGAAGAAGGCAAGGAUGUCAUUUUACCGUGUUCUGUCAACGGGGACUUCAACGUCAACAACUUUCAAUGGAUGAAAGAUGCUCAAGUAGGUAAACCUCAGAAGAAUGUGUUCUUCUACGAUAAAGGCAGCCAUUACAACAAUGGACGUGAAGGUCAGAGUGAGGAGUUCAAAGGUCGAGUCUUUCAUUUUGAAGAUGAACUGCAACAUGGAAAAGCCUCCAUAACCAUCACAAACACAAAGUGGACUGACAGAGGAAUCUACACCUGUGAUUUUCCUGAUCUGGAGCCACCUCAGAGAUUCCAGAGAGAGCUUUUUGUUGGUGAGUACUUUGAUUCAUGAAACAGUUAAUUCUUCAUUAAUUGUUUGUUCUCGUUUUGACCCCUGAAUGUUUUUUAUCCUCUCGUCGUCUGUUUGAACCACUUGAAAUCAAUAACACCUUGAUUAAAACGUGUUCAGAGAUAAGAGCUGCUGUGUAUUUUUCAAUAUAUUUCUAUGUAGAGAUGUAACCACACACUCACGAUUUGAUAUGAUUUCUGAUACAGGGUUAACGAUACAGUUUCUUAUGAUUUUAUCCAACUUUUUUUUGUAACAGUACAAACUUGCAGACAAAUUGUGACUGAAAAAGAUUCUUUAAUUAUUUCUCAGACAAAGAAACAUUCCUCGUCUGUGCAAAUUUGUGCGGCUGCUCGUGUUUCCCUUCUCCUUUUUACAUGUUGAAGCUCCUUUACUAGACUGUGAAUGGUUGACCACUCAGUGAUAUCGCCCACAAAUGAAUGCUUUUAUUUCUCUUUCAGCACCAAGGAAGACGGACGGACAGGUAGAAGACAAAGGUGAUGAUGGAACCACAGAGCUUUCACCUUUGUCAGUGUGACCUUCCUGAGCAGUGAAGCGAACAGGAAGUGCCUUCAGAAGUCCAGCAGGGGGCGCCACCGUCCGGCCCUAUCUAUCUAGCCCUACCUAUCUAUCAAAACUAAAUGAGACGACUUCUAUGGAAGCCAAUUUUCACAAGUUAUAAAAAUAAAUAGUAAAACUUGGCACUUUUUUCUUUCCUUUUUUGCCCAUAUUAAGUGGAAAUUAUGAGAUAAGUAAAAAAAAAUGAGAUUAAAAAAGUCAAAAUUAUAAGAUAAAAAAGGCAAAAUUCUGAGAUGAAAAGGCACAUUUUUUAGAUAAAAAAAGUCAAAAUUAUGAGGUAAAAAUUAUGAGAUAAAAAAGUCGAAAAUAUGAUUAAAAAAGUAAAAAUUAUGAGAUAAAAAAGUCAAAACUGAGAUAAAAGUCAAAGCUGAGCAAAAAAGUCAAUAUUAUGAGGUGAAAGUCAAAACUAUGAGAUAAAAAAGUCAAAAUUAUGAGAUAAAGUCAAAAUUGUGAGAUAAAAACUGACUUGUGACUUUUUAUGUCAUAAUUAUGACUUUUUUCGAUUUAAUAUGGGCAACAACAAAAUAAGCCAAAUUUUUUUUAUUUAUUCCUAGCAGAAACGAGCUUCCAUAAACUUCAUUUAUUACCAACAUUCUGGUGUCAAUCUCUAGUUUCAAGUCUUCUCCAAGACAACAUGGUGUGAAUGUGUAAAUAAUGGUCCCAUGUAGAAGAAAAUAGAUGAUAAAGAAGCUUAUGACUCAGACAUGAGGAACUGAACCUAAAUGACUGUAAAUAUUUUGUUGCUGGAGUGUGAAGAUGUUCUUAAAGCUGAGGCCGCUUCAAUCAGAAACAUCUUGUUUUGAUUAUUUCGACUGAUAUUGAAGUGAUUCACAGUAUUAGUGGGAUUCAUCAUGAAUGAAUUAUCUUUAUUUUUCGGCUAUAUAAUUUACAUCUAGAAAAUCAAAUUUCACACAAUUUUUCUCCAUAAAUAAAUCAUUGUUGAGUCAUUAUUCUCAUUGUUAUUCAAAAAUACAAUACCAUGAGUUAUUUUUGUUUUGCAAUAAACAAAUAAGCUUUUCUUAAAUGUGCUGAAUAUUAUUAUUAAUAAUAUGUAUGUUAUUAUUAUAUUUUGUAGGCUGGGACGUCUCAACAUUACCUGAGAUUACUUAUGAUAUUUGACUAAUUUUGCCUGUCAGAAACAUUGCACUAUAUAUUAAUCUGUAAUGCUAUUUGGAUAAAAUGUCCAUUAUUGUGCAGCGCUAUUUAAAAUGUUACUAAAAUGAAAUCAUGUUUUAUUUUUUGGGGAGUUAAUUUGUAUUACUGCCUUCCCAUUUAAAAUGUAAGUAAAAUAAAAUGUUUAUAUUUCUAGUUCAUUUAUAUUACUGCCUUCCCAUUCUGAGGAUUCUGUUUCUAUUUUUUUUAAUAAAUAAUCUGUUUGUUUCUGCUAUAUAAUCUGAUGAUUGUGGCCUUUUGCAUGUGUUUAUUAUUUGUGCUCAUAUAUCAUGUUGACAAUAAAGGCUUUAAAAUGUCAUGUUUGUUUCUUCAUAUUCAACAUUUACAAUAAAACAAACAUUUUCUUUAA